rnacentral:lncRNA from 1 species
AACUAAACAAAAUGAUAGAAUUGUAAAAUAAAUUAGAUAAAGAUAGCUUUCAUACAAUGCUUUGAAAAUACCAAAAGAAAAGAUAGGGUCACCGUACAUUUUUUUCCGGCUAAAAUACAAAAUAGGAAAAUUUCAUGUAGAAACCUUCAGAAAAUGUACUGUUUAAGAGUUACCUCCCCUUAAAAGGCAAAUUCAAAAUCAUUUAAAAACAACCAAAAAUAAUCAACACUUGUAUAAAUAUUAAUAUUUGUAAGUUAUGUUGGACAAAAUUGGAUCUUUCAAAUGAAAAUUUACAUUAGAUAACUACAUUCCUUCAUCAAAUUUUGCUAUCUUCAUAGAAAAUAUGGACCUUAGAUUCUCUGUUUUUUUUACAAUCCAAGAUGGAGGAAGACAC